rnacentral:rRNA from 1 species
AUUGAACGCUGGCGGCAUGCCUUACACAUGCAAGUCGAACGGCAGCACGGGUGCUUGCACCUGGUGGCGAGUGGCGAACGGGUGAGUAAUACAUCGGAACGUACCUUAUCGUGGGGGAUAACGCAGCGAAAGUUGCGCUAAUACCGCAUACGCCCUGAGGGGGAAAGCGGGGGACCGUAAGGCCUCGCGCGAUUAGAGCGGCCGAUGUCUGAUUGGGUUGUUGGUGAGGAAAAAGCUCACCAAGGCGAUGAUCGGUAGCUGGUUUGAGAGGACGAUCAGCCACACUGGGACUGAGACACGGCCCAGACUCCUACGGGAGGCAGCAGUGGGGAAUUUUGGACAAUGGGGGCAACCCUGAUCCAGCAAUGCCGCGUGAGUGAAGAAGGCCUUCGGGUUGUAAAGCUCUUUUGUCAGGGAAGAAACAGCAGCUCUAACACAGUCUGCGAAUGACGGUACCUGAAGAAUAAGCACCGGCUAACUACGUGCCAGCCGCCGCCGUAA